GAUGAACGCUAGCGGCAGGCUUAAUACAUGCAAGUCGUGGGGCAGCAUGAGUGUAGCAAUACAUUUGAUGGCGACCGGCAAACGGGUGCGGAACACGUACACAACCUUCCUAUAAGUGGGGAAUAGCCCAGAGAAAUUUGGAUUAAUACCCCGUAACAUAAUGAUGUGGCAUCACAUUAUUAUUAUAGCUUCGGCGCUUAUUGAUGGGUGUGCGGCUGAUUAGAUAGUUGGCGGGGUAACGGCCCACCAAGUCUACGAUCAGUAGCUGAUGUGAGAGCAUGAUCAGCCACACGGGAACUGAGACCCGGGCCCGACUCCUACGGGAGGCAGCAGGAAGGAAUAUUGGUCAAUGGACGCAAGUCUGAACCAGCCAUGCCGCGUGAAGGAUUAAGGUCCUCUGGAUUGUAAACUUCCUUUAUCUGGGACGAAAAAAGGCGAUUCUUCGUCACUUGACGGUACCAGAUGAAUAAGCACCGGCUAACUCCGUGCCAGCAGCCGCGGUAAGAC
rnacentral:rRNA from 1 species